GACGAACGCUGGCGGCGUGCUUAACACAUGCAAGUCGAACGGAAAGGCCCUGCUUUUGUGGGGUGCUCGAGUGGCGAACGGGUGAGUAACACGUGAGUAACCUGCCCUUGACUGUGGGAUAACUUCAUGAAACUGGGGCUAAUACCGGAUAGGAGCUCCUGCUGCAUGGUGGGGGUUGGAAAGUUUCGGUGGUUGGGGAUGGACUCGCGGCUUAUCAGCUUGUUGGUGGGGUAGUGGCUUACCAAGGCUUUGACGGGUAGCCGGCCUGAGAGGGUGACCGGCCACAUUGGGACUGAGCUACGACCCAGACUCGUACGGGAGGCAGAAGUGGGGAAUAUUGCACAAUGGGCGGAAGCAUGAUGCAGCAACGCCGCGUGCGGGAUGACGGCCUUCGGGUUGUAAACCGCUUUCGCCUGUGCCGAAGCGUGAGUGACGGUAAUGGGUAAAGAAGCACCGGCUAACUACGUG
rnacentral:rRNA from 1 species